CGCCGGUGGCCUAGUUGGUUAGAGCAUCCGCCUCGGAUGCGGGAGGUCGUGGGUUUGAUCCCACUUGACUAAUGA